UACGUAGGGGGCGAGCGUUGUCCGGAUUUAUUGGGCGUAAAGAGCUCGUAGGCGGUUUGGCAAGUCGGGUGUGAAAACUCCGGGCUCAACUCGGAGACGCCACUCGAUACUGCCAUGACUCGAGUCCGGUAGGGGAGUGCGGAAUUCCUGGUGUAGCGGUGAAAUGCGUAGAUAUCUGGAGGGACACCGGUGGCGAAGGCGGCAUCCUGGACCAACACUGACGCUGAGUGAGCGAAAGCCAGGGGAGCAAACGGG
rnacentral:rRNA from 1 species